rnacentral:tRNA from 1 species
GGAGAGGUGGCAGAGCGGUCGAUCGCGCCGUCUUGGAAAGGCGGAGACCCUUCACGGGGUCCGCGGGUUCGAAUCCCGCCCUCUCCGCCA